UUCCCAUAGGAUCUCACUCAAAAUAAAUAAAUAAACAUUUAAGUUAAAAAAUAAAGAAGAGCACUGAGGACAUGAGAGGGAGACUGCCACGGGCCGCGGGACCAGAGGGGACGCAGGUCCUGACCCGAGCUGAGUGACGGCAGGAGAAGCAACCCGGAGACCACGGACAUGGAACCUGCCCUUCACCUAUCCCAACAGUCCCAGGGUCAGUGGUUCCCAAACUACAGCCCGCAAGCCAAGUCAGCUGACUCCCAGAAGAGGUCAGCAACCAAGCCUGAGCAGGAAGCUGGAAAAAGAGAAUGGAGGAGGCAUGACAUAGUUGGUGUAAGGACGGCAGAAACGUGGACGAUCAGAGAAGCCUAGCACACACUAAACAAGCAGUGCUGGAGCCCUCUGGAAGCUGACGUCCAAACAUGAGAGUCUCACCAGCUGGUCCUCUUGCAUGUCUCCUCCAACAUCCCGUGGCUACACAG